CUGCGGCAGCGAACGUAUCACCCAAGACAACUUUACGGAGUUGACGAUUGACGGAGCGAAGCGACGUCAAAGCGUUCAUUAAAGUCGAGUUGGCUUAGGGAUACGUUCGUUGGGUAGGGGAGCGUUCUGUAAGCCUGUGAAGGUGUGUCGUGAGGCAUGCUGGAGGUAUCAGAAGUGCGAAUGCUGACAUAAGUAACGAUAAAGCGGGUGAAAAGCCCGCUCGCCGGAAGACCAAGGGUUCCUGUCCAACGUUAAUCGGGGCAGGGUGAGUCGACCCCUAAGGCGAGGCCGAAAGGCGUAGUCGAUGGGAAACGGGUUAAUAUUCCCGUACUUGGUGUUACUGCGAAGGGGGGACGGAGAAGGCUAUGUUGGCCGGGCGACGGUUGUCCCGGUUUAAGCGUGUAGGUGUGUGUUCCAGGUAAAUCCGGUUCACUUUAACACUGAGGCGUGACGACGAGGCACUACGGUGCUGAAGCAACAAAUGCCCUGCUUCCAGGAAAAGCCUCUAAGCAUCAGGUAACAUCAAAUCGUACCCCAAACCGA
rnacentral:rRNA from 1 species